UACGUAGGGGGCAAGCGUUGUCCGGAUUUAUUGGGCGUAAAGAGCGUGUAGGCGGCCUGACAGGUCUGCUGUGAAAACUCGAGGCUCAACCUCGAGAUGUCAGCGGAAACCGUCUGGCUAGAGUCCGGAAGAGGAGAGUGGAAUUCCUGGUGUAGCGGUGAAAUGCGCAGAUAUCAGGAAGAACACCUAUGGCGAAGGCAGCUCUCUGGGACGGUACUGACGCUGAGACGCGAAAGCGUGGGGAGCGAACAGG
rnacentral:rRNA from 1 species